GACGAACGCUGGCGGCGUGCCUAAUACAUGCAAGUAGAACGCUGAAGGAGGAGCUUGCUUCUCUGGAUGAGUUGCGAACGGGUGAGUAACGCGUAGGUAACCUGCCUGGUAGCGGGGGAUAACUAUUGGAAACGAUAGCUAAUACCGCAUAAGAGUAGAUGUCGCAUGACAUUUGCUUAAAAGGUGCAAUUGCAUCACUACCAGAUGGACCUGCGUUGUAUUAGCUAGUUGGUGAGGUAACGGCUCACCAAGGCAACGAUACAUAGCCGACCUGAGAGGGGGAUCGGCCACACUGGGACUGAGACACGGCCCAGACUCCUACGGGAGGCAGCAGUAGGGAAUCUUCGGCAAUAGACGGAAGUCUGACCGAGCAACGCCGCGUGAGUGAAGAAGGUUUUCGGAUCGUAAAGCUCUGUUGUAAGAGAAGAACGAGUGUGAGAGUGGAAAGUUCACACUGUGACGGUAUCUUACCAGAAAGGGACGGCUAACUACGUG
rnacentral:rRNA from 1 species